UACGUAGGUGGCAAGCGUUGUCCGGAUUUACUGGGCGUAAAGAGCGCGCAGGCGGUCGUUCAAGUCGCGUGUGAAAGCCCCCGGCUCAACUGGGGAGGGUCACGCGAUACUGAUCGACUCGAAGGCAGGAGAGGGAAGUGGAAUUCCCGGUGUAGUGGUGAAAUGCGUAGAGAUCGGGAAGAACAUCAGUGGCGAAGGCGGCCUGCUGGGCUGUUGCUGACGCUGAGGCGCGACAGCGUGGGGAGCAAACAGG
rnacentral:rRNA from 1 species